rnacentral:other from 1 species
AAAAGCCUAGGAUGUGCGUAGCCUUACGAAUAGAACCACCAAUGUAGAAUUGGGAGCAUCGCGUUCUUAAUGAGGAUGUCAAGCCGGCAUGACCGGAAGACAGAAACAUUGGACAGAUCACCCACCUGAAUAGAGGUGUGGUGUCUAAUUCAAAGGAGACGGCAUCUCGGGUUUUUU